UGCGUAGGCGGUUCGGUAAGUCUUGUGUGAAAUCUUCGGGCUCAACUCGAAGUCUGCACGAGAAACUGCCGGGCUUGAGUGUGGGAGAGGUGAGUGGAAUUUCCGGUGUAGCGGUGAAAUGCGUAGAUAUCGGAAGGAACACCUGUGGCGAAAGCGGCUCACUGGACCACAACUGACGCUGAGGCACGAAAGCUAGGGGAGCAAACAGGAUUAGAUACCCUGGUAGUCCUAGCCCUAAACGAUGAUCGCUUGGUGUGACGGGUACCCAAUCCCGCCGUGCCGAAGCUAACGCGUUAAGCGAUCCGCCUGGGGAGUACGGUCGCAAGGCUGAA
rnacentral:rRNA from 1 species